rnacentral:rRNA from 1 species
CCCUUAGAUGUUCUGGGCUGCACGCGCGCUACACUGAUGCAUGCAACGAGUUUUCGACCUUGCCUGAAAAGGUUGGGUAAUCUGUUUAACAUGUGUCGUGAUGGGGAUAGACCAUUGCAAUUAUUGAUCUUCAACGAGGAAUUCCUAGUAAGCGCGAGUCAUCAGCUCGUGCUGAUUAUGUCCCUGCCCUUUGUACACACCGCCCGUCGCUCCUACCGAUUGAGUUAUCCGGUGAAUGAUUCGGACCAGCGUGCUGCUCAGAUCCUGCGCAGUGUGCUGGGAAGUCUAGUGAACCUUAUCACUUAGAGGAAGGAGAAGUCGUAACA